rnacentral:rRNA from 1 species
AUAGUUAACUUUGAAACUGCGAAUGGCUCAUUAUAUCAGUUAUAGUUUAUUUGAUGAAGAAUACUAAUUGGAUAACCGUAGUAAUUCUAGAGCUAAUACAUGUAUAAAGUCUUGUAGACUGCAUUUAUUAGAAUGAAAACCAUAGGUUUCGGCCUAUUCGUGAGUAAUAAUAACUAAUCAUAUCGUAUGCUUAUGUAACGAUGUGUCUUUCAAGUUUCUGCCCUAUCAGCUUUCGAUGGUA